AUAUUGUUUAUAUUUUAGUUUCAACAGUUUGUAUACUAUCGCAAUAUCAAUCUAUAUAUUGUUUGUAUAGGGUAACAACUAUGUGUUUCAGAAGUGAUGAAUAUGAUUACUAGUGGUAUGUUCUCAGUGGUAUGUUCCUUCAAACAAAUUUUUUUUCCUUGUAGCGUACACUUUCUAGCAUAACUCCCAAGGGAAUUUCAUGUUUUAGAGAAAGCUAAAGUGGAUACAUAUUUUUUUCAUAGUCUAUUUAGAAUAAGAUGCUCGGGUAUUUGUUUACUAAUCUGGACUUACAGCCCCUCAAAUACUAAUUGAUAUAUAAAUUUUUUUAGCACAACUUCCUCCUAGAGAAGUUAUCUCAUAUGGCUUCAGUAUAUGUUAUCAAUGAACAGAAUGUUGAAAAAUUCAUUUCAGAAAAAGCUUAUAAUAGUAAAAAAUGGGGGUGCUCCACUUCUGGAUGUAAGUCUUGGAAGUCCAUCGGGAUGCGUUACAAGAAAGUGGCUUCCUUUGACAAUUUUAUGAGGUAUUGUGGUUUGGUUGCUAAUGAACCCAUUUCUGUUGUUGGAUUGAGUCAUUUUGAUGUGAAUAAUGAUGAUGAUGAUAGUGCAUCGUCAGAAAAUGGCAUAUUGAUCAACAAGAAGAAUUUGUAUGAUUCCGACACUCUUUUGUGAUGUAUUCUUUACUCAAAUUAGCAUACUUUGUCAAUUAAUCAUGAGUCUUUUUAUUCUUGAAUGCUAAUUAGAUAUGAUGUAAUGAAUA